GUGGGGAAUUUUGGACAAUGGGCGAAAGCCUGAUCCAGCCAUGCCGCGUGUGUGAAGAAGGUCUUCGGAUUGUAAAGCACUUUAAGUUGGGAGGAAGGGCAGUAAGUUAAUACCUUGCUGUUUUGACGUUACCGACAGAAUAAGCACCGGCUAACUUCGUGCCAGCAGCCGCGGUAAUACGAAGGGUGCAAGCGUUAUUCGGAAUUACUGGGCGUAAAGCGCGCGUAGGUGGUUUUGUAAGUUGGAGGUGAAAUCCCCGGGCUCAACCUGGGAACUGCCUCCAAAACUGCAUGACUAGAGUACGGUAGAGGGUAGUGGAAUUUCCUGUGUAGCGGUGAAAUGCGUAGAUAUAGGAAGGAACACCAGUGGCGAAGGCGACCACCUGGACUGAUACUGACACUGAGGUGCGAAAGCGUGGGGAGCAAACAGGAUUAGAUACCCCGGUAGUCC
rnacentral:rRNA from 1 species